UACGUAGGGUGCGAGCGUUAAUCGGAAUUACUGGGCGUAAAGCGUGCGCAGGCGGUUUUGUAAGCCAGAUGUGAAAUCCCCGGGCUUAACCUGGGAAUGGCAUUUGGGACUGCAAGGCUUGAGUGCGGCAGAGGAGACUGGAAUUCCUGGUGUAGCAGUGAAAUGCGUAGAUAUCGAGAGGAACACCUGAGGUGAAGACGGGUUGCUGGGCCGACACUGACGCUGAGUGCGUGAAAGCCAGGGGAGCAAACGGG
rnacentral:rRNA from 1 species